UAUAGCUCAGUGUUAGAGCACAUGCUUAGCAUGCACAAUGUCCUGGGUUCAAUUCCCAGUA
rnacentral:tRNA from 1 species